GGGGGCGUAAAGGUUUCGACGGGUUAGUACUGGCUUGGGAAGGCGUGCCGGGUUCCGAGCUCCCGUAAAACGAUCGGAAAACCAUAACUGCCAAUAACACGCAGUUUGCAUACGCUGCCUAAUCUUUAGGUAGCCGUCACUGGUAGCGAGCCCGUGCGCUACUGGCAGGCGUAACUUUACGGGAUAGGGUGGCAGCUUCUGCUCGUAGCUGUUCACUUGAGAUCAACCGGGCUAGGGGAAUGGGGUCUUGCCGGUUCAGAACUGUUCUCCGAAAUUUCAGAACACGGCUACGCACGUAGGCUUUUCAGGGUAGGCUUUCUCGGACGCGGGUUCGAUUCCCGCCGCCUCCACCA
rnacentral:tmRNA from 1 species